CCUACGGGAGGCAGCAGUAGGGAAUUUUCGGCAAUGGGGGGAACCCUGAUCGAGCAACGCCGCGUGAACGAAGAAGUUAUUCGUAAUGUAAAGCUCUUUUAACAGGGAAGAAAUAGAAAUUUUACGGUACCUGAAGAGUAAGCUCGGACAAACUACGUGCCAGCGGCGUCGGUAAUACGUAGGUAGCACGGGUUAUCCGGAAUUUUUGGGCGUAAAGGGUGCGUAGAUGGCAGAGAAAGCCUGUGGGAAAAGUGCUGGGCUAAACCCAGUAGGGCAAAGGAUACUGCAAAGCUAGAGUAUGACAGAGGCAAGUGGAACUACAAGUGUAGCGGUAAAAUGCGUAAAUAUAUGUAAGAACACCAGUGGCGAAGGCGGCUUGCUGGGUCGAUACUGACGUUGAGGCACGAAAGCGUGGGGAGCAAACAGGAUUAGAUACCCGGGUAGUC
rnacentral:rRNA from 1 species